rnacentral:rRNA from 1 species
UUGGUGACNGCGGAGGGAUCAUUACUGAGUUUACGCUCUAUAACCCUUUGUGAACAUUCCUAUAACUGUUGCUUCGGCGGGAGGGGUCUCCGCGACCCUCCCGGCCCCCCGCCGGAGGAUAAGCAAACUCUGAUUUGACGACGUUUCUUCUGAGUGGUACAAGGAAAUAAUCAAAACUUUUAACAACGGAUCUCUUGGUUCAGGCAUCGAUGAAGAACGCAGCGAAAUGCGAUAAGUAAUGUGAAUUGCAGAAUUCAGUGAAUCAUCNAAUCUUUGAACGCACAUUGCGCCCGCCAGCAUUCUGGCGGGCAUGCCUGUUCGAGCGUCAUUUCAACCCUCAAGCUCUGCUUGGAGUUGGGGCCCUACAGCCGAUGUAGGCCCUUAAAGGUAGUGGCGGACCCUCCCGGAGCCUCCUUUGCGUAGUAACCUUACGUCUCGCACUGGGAUCCGGAGGGACUCUUGCCGUAAAACCCCCAAUUUUCCAAAGGUUGACCUCGGAUCAGGUAGGAAUACCCGCUGAACUUAAGCAUAUCA